rnacentral:tRNA from 1 species
GCCGAAGUGGCGGAAUUGGUAGACGCGCCAGCUUCAGGUGCUGGUGAGCCUUGGCUCGUGGAGGUUCAAGUCCUCUCUUCGGCACCA